rnacentral:rRNA from 1 species
AUUGAACGCUGGCGGCAGGCCUAACACAUGCAAGUCGAGCGGAGCGGCGGACGGGUGAGUAAUGCCUAGGAAUCUGCCUGGUAGUGGGGGAUAACGUCCGGAAACGGGCGCUAAUACCGCAUACUAUCAGAUGAGCCUAGGUCGGAUUCGCUAGGUGGGGGGUUAAAGGCCUACCAAGGCGACGAACCGUAACUGGUCUGAGGGGUGGAUCAGUCACACGGGAACGGAGACACGGUCCAUACUCCUCCGGGAGGCAGCAGGGGGGAAUAUUGGACAAUGGGGGAAAUCCUGAUCCAGCCAUGCCGCGUGGGUGAAGAAGGUCUUCGGAUUGUAAAGCACUUUAAGUUGGGAGGCGUUACCAACAGAAUAAGCACCGGCUAACUUCGUGCCAGCAGCCGCGGUAAUAC